AAACAAACUUGGCUUUUUGGCUAAGAUCAAGUAUAGUAUCUGUUCUUUUCAGUUUAGUUGGAUGCUUUGUGUUUUAGAAGGUUAUUAAAUAUGGAUUCGUUUUUACAGAGUUCUAUCCUCCUUCAAUGCCUGGGGUUCCAGGAGGAAAUCAGAGCUUUUUCCCAAAAAUGGUACCUCCUAUUUUUCCCAAGGACUCCUC
rfam:Pan troglodytes isolate Yerkes chimp pedigree #C0471 (Clint) chromosome 12, whole genome shotgun sequence.